UACGUAGGGUGCGAGCGUUGUCCGGAAUUAUUGGGCGUAAAGGGCUCGUAGGCGGUUUGUCGCGUCGGGAGUGAAAACACCGGGCUUAACUCGGUGCUUGCUUUCGAUACGGGCAGACUAGAGGUAUUCAGGGGAGAACGGAAUUCCUGGUGUAGCGGUGAAAUGCGCAGAUAUCAGGAGGAACACCGGUGGCGAAGGCGGCUUGCUGGGCCUUACCUGACGCUGAGGAGCGAAAGCGUGGGGAGCGAACAGG
rnacentral:rRNA from 1 species